rnacentral:rRNA from 1 species
GACGAACGCUGGCGGCGUGCUUAACACAUGCAAGUCGAACGGAAAGGCCCUGCUUGCAGGGUACUCGAGUGGCGAACGGGUGAGUAACACGUGGGUGAUCUGCCCUGCACUUCGGGAUAAGCCUGGGAAACUGGGUCUAAUACCGGAUAGGAGCCAUUUUUAGUGUGAUGGUUGGAAAGUUUUUUCGGUGUAGGAUGAGCUCGCGGCCUAUCAGCUUGUUGGUGGGGUAAUGGCCUACCAAGGCGGCGACGGGUAGCCGGCCUGAGAGGGUGGACGGCCACAUUGGGACUGAGAUACGGCCCAGACACCUACGGGAGGCAGCAGUGGGGAAGAUUGCACAAUGGGCGCAGGCCUGAUGCAGCGACGCCGCGUGGGGGAUGACGGCCUUCGGGUUGGAAACUCCUUUCGCUAGGGACGAAGCUUUUUGUGACGGUACCUAGAUAAGAAGCACCGGCUAACUACGUG